AUUGAACGCUGGCGGCAGGCCUAACACAUGCAAGUCGAGCGGAUGAAGGGAGCUUGCUCCUGGAUUCAGCGGCGGACGGGUGAGUAAUGCCUAUGAAUCUGCCUGGCAGUGGGGGAUAACGUCCGGAGACGGGCGCUAAUACCGCAUACGACCUGAGGGUGCAAGUGGGUGAUCUUCGGACCUCACGCUAUCAGAUGAGCCUAGGUCGGAUUAGCUAGUUGGUGGGGUAAAGGCCUACCAAGGCGGCGAUCCGUAACUGGUCUGAGAGGAUGAUCAGUCACACUGGAACUGAGACACGGUCCAGAGUCCUACGGGAGGGAGCAGUGGGGAAUAUUGGACAAUGGGCGGAAGCCUGAUCCAGCCAGGCCGCGUGUGUGAAGAAGGUCUUCGGAUUGUAAAGCACUUUAAGUUGGGAGGAAGGGCAGUAAGUUAAUACCUUGCUGUUUUGACGUUACCAACAGAAUAAGCACCGGCUAACUUCGUG
rnacentral:rRNA from 1 species